CGUAUUUAUACUCUUUUGGCUGACACUGGCUGCUUGACCUGGGCCUUUCCCUUUCCGAAACGACACGGAUUGAAACCACCAGCGUAUUCCUGGAAUGACGACGAUCCGGGCAGGUCGACGGCGACAUUGUACCAAACUUUUUUGGAGCGGAGAGUACAGGGCGGACACAAAAAAGUUCGCCCUCUUCCAUCAUCAAAUGACUUUGGAUUCUCUCGCUCGACAUCAGAUCGACUUUCUCUCCGUUUCGCUCCACGUAAUAAGCGCUGAAUCCAAUAUCGCCGUCCUCCGUCAUGAACUCCCACCUGUUUUCAA